rnacentral:rRNA from 1 species
UGGGGAAUAUUGCACAAUGGGCGCAAGCCUGAUGCAGCCAUGCCGCGUGUGUGAAGAAGGCCUUCGGGUUGUAAAGCACUUUCAGCGGGGAGGAAGGCGGUGAGGUUAAUAACCUCAUCGAUUGACGGUACCCGCAGAAGAAGCACCGGCUAACUCCGUGCCAGCAGCCGCGGUAAUACGGAGGGUGCAAGCGUUAAUCGGAAUUACUGGGCGUAAAGCGCACGCAGGCGGUCUGUCAAGUCGGAUGUGAAAUCCCCGGGCUCAACCUGGGAACUGCAUUCGAAACUGGCAGGCUAGAGUCUUGUAGAGGGGGGUAGAAUUCCAGGUGUAGCGGUGAAAUGCGUAGAGAUCUGGAGGAAUACCGGUGGCGAAGGCGGCCCCCUGGACAAAGACUGACGCUCAGGUGCGAAAGCGUGGGGAGCAAACAGG